rnacentral:tRNA from 1 species
ACCCUGCUGGGUUCAAUUGGUUACCAUGGUUCACCAUAACCAAAUAGGUCUCGGGUUCAAUUCCCGCGUAGGCUA